UACGUAGGGGGCAAGCGUUGUCCGGAUUUAUUGGGCGUAAAGAGCGUGUAGGCGGCCAAGCAGGUCCGCUGUGAAAACUCGAGGCUCAACCUCGAGACGCCGGUGGAAACCGUAAAGCUAGAGUCCGGAAGAGGAGAGUGGAAGUUCCGUGGUGUAGCGGUGAAAUGCGCAGAUAUCAGGAGGAACACCCGUGGCGAAAGCGGCUCUCUGGGACGGUACUGACGCUGAGACGCGAAAGCGUGGGGAGCAAACAGG
rnacentral:rRNA from 1 species